UCGUGCAUGCGCGCGAGGGCGCGCGUGUAAUAACGACAGCUCAGUGGGGACAUAGCCAACAUAUUUUCUAGCUGAGGCAUUUUGGACGGGUUUAAAAAAAAAAAAGCAACGAAGAGUUUCUCACAGCCUGGCGUGUCUAAUCCGUCUCUUCCUUUUUUUUAACAGCACAGGAGAUUAAACCGUUUUGGAGCUGCUUUUCCUAGAGCUCCAGCAUGCGUUUUGUAUUAGGCGGCUUAGUGAACAUUUGGGGAAUCAGUGGAGACUAUUCUGGAACACAACUGCCAUUCCAAAACCAGAUGGGAAAAAUAAAAUUUACAAAAGACUUGGACAGUAGUGUUCAAAGAUUUGAAGUAUAAGAUAAAAGCCUUAAAAAGCAUUAAAAUUAUUUUGCAUGUCAGAAGUGUAGAGAAAAAUAUGGAAAGAGAGCAAAGAAUAAAAUUAAUCCAUCUGUUUA